CGAACUACCGCUUUCCCCGUGACCAGGGAGUCUGCAGUUUGCAAUGAUGUGGCUGAGAUACCCUUGUGCUGUUACUUUAAAGGUACAUUUACGUAUCUUUCAACGCAGUUUGUACCUUUGUUCAGGGUUCUAUUGAACUUUCUCUGUGCUCUUUAGAAAACUGUCGAAUAAAGGUAACCAUCUUUUUGGGUGCCUGGGCAUGGUCAUUGUCCCAGAGUUUUAACGUAAGUCUCUACUAAAGUAUCCUGAUUUGCAAGGGAGGUCAUGGGCCAAGCACAAAGCGGCAAAAGGGUGGAAUUGAGGUACCUGACAUUGCUGAACCCAUGCCUGAUGCCACAUUAGCUCAGGACUACCUACAUGGACAUGGAUAUUUCCAGUGAAAGAAAGAAGAAAGCAUCCUUUUCUCUUGACUGUGCAGAAAAAAAUUCUAUGUUUCUUUGAUUCUCCAUUUUACUAGAUGCCAUACCUUUGUAAUUACUUCAUGUGGAGUCUUGACCAAGAUUCAGGAAAUACUAGAGCUUUCAGUCCCGGAAGGUUACUCUGGGCAUUACUAGUCCCCAUCAUUAUGAGUUGAGUUUUACUAGUUAAUUUCAGAUGAAAAAUAUUUGUCUUUCCCCAAAUUCUGGGGUUAUGUAUUUUACUACCUAUGAACUGACAACUGUAUCUCCAGUAAUUACAAUUUCCAACAAAAUGUUAUAGGAAUAAAGAAAAGAUAUUAGUUCAUUAUUCAGAGUUUAUGUUAUCCUUUAAUAAAAAGAAAUGGUCUG
rnacentral:lncRNA from 1 species